UCAACCCGAUUUUCAUUUCCAACUCUAAUUUAAUGUCUGUACAAUGUUAGUCCAACGUCUUUCUGAUGUAGCAUUGAUGUAGAGCUGGACCAUAAAUCAAUUUCAUCGAUUAAUUUGAAUUUAUGGUUUAGGACUAUGUUCAAAAAUGAAAAUCGAAUUUCAGUUUGACUUGGGUUAAUUAUGGUACGGAACCGCCACCGCUUCACUGAGCUUCCGUUGUUUAAAGUAACGCGAGAUUUCACAAGUGAAUUAUCAACAUGGCAGCAUUCGUUAAUAAGUGAGGAGAUCGUUCCCAAAAAAAUGCAGUGUCCGUUAUCGGGCAAACCACCGUCCAUUGUAAAGUUUGCCAAAAGUCUGUGGCAACUAAAAGCAACAAGACGACUACUUUAUUUUAGCGUCUCAAACAGAGGCACGCAGCUGAGUUGGAGAAGUGUAUGGCACUGCGAGUUGAACAAGACAGCGGCAAAACACCUGCUCAAAAGCAGGUAACAUUAACGGAGUGCGUUGGGCUCGUGGAACCUCUGGGAAGACCGACACGUCUGCGUGACUACAGACAGCGGCACGGACAUGAUCAAAGCUCUGAGACUUGAUGAGUGGACCCACCUCCAGUGCUUUGGACGCAAACUACACAACCCACCACUCAGGCCCAUGUGUGCUUGCACGUGUUGUAACGUGUCAGUGUGAUGGAGAGCAACGUCACCGGUGCUUCAAGUCCUGGUAGGGGUUUAACACAAAUCACUAAGAUGUGGAUGUGCUCAGAGAAAGAGACAAAGACAAGAGAGAAGCAUCAGGGGGUGCACAGCACAGAACUUUUACAGAAGCUAAUACAGUCGGGUCCUACUGGAAAUAAGAACGCAUGAAAACAGUUUAACAGUGUUGGAGACUGAAAAAUACCAACAUGGAGUCUCACAAGUCAACAGAAAUUAAAACUCUGUUAUUACAUUUCAUCAUUUCUCCACAAGGAAAAAAGGAAAGUGUAACUCCAUAACCAAUUUGUGCUCACAUGCCUUUGCUUACAAAAAUAUCAUGAUUUGCCAAUUCAGCUAAAACAUUCAACUUUAUAUUUCAGCAGGCAAACCCAACAACAUGGAUGCCCACUGAGUGUCAGUGAGGCAUGUGAUUACAGAUUUAAUGUACUGUAUUUAAAGUCUUACUACAAAAUAAACA